rnacentral:rRNA from 1 species
AACGAACGCUGGCGGCAUGCCUAACACAUGCAAGUCGAACGGGAUCCUAGCUUGCUAGGUGAGAGUGGCGGACGGGUGAGUAACACGUGGGAAUCUGCCUUUUGGUUCGGGAUAACCGCGGGAAACUGCGGCUAAUACCGAAUGCCCUCGAGAGAGGAAAGAUUUAUCGCCAGAAGAGGAGCCCGCGUCCGAUUAGGUAGUUGGUGGGGUAAAGGCCUACCAAGCCGACGAUCGGUAGCUGGUCUGAGAGGAUGAUCAGCCACACUGGGACUGAGACACGGCCCAGACUCCUACGGGAGGCAACAGUGGGGAAUAUUGGACAAUGGGCGAAAGCCUGAUCCAGCAAUGCCGCGUGAGUGAUGAAGGCCUUAGGGUUGUAAAGCUCUUUUACCAGGGAUGAUAAUGACAGUACCUGGAGAAUAAGCUCCGGCUAACUCCGUGCCAGCAGCCGCGGUAAU